GCCGGGUGUGGUGGCUCACGCCUGUAAUCCCAGCACUUUGGGAGGCUGAGGCAGGUGAAUUACCUGAGGUCAGGAGUUCAAGACCAGCCUGGCCAACAUGGUGAAACCCUGUCUCUA
rnacentral:SRP_RNA from 1 species